rnacentral:rRNA from 1 species
AGUGAACGCUGGCGGUAGGCCUAACACAUGCAAGUCGAACGGAAGCACAGUAAGAGUUUGCUCUUACGGGUGGCGAGUGGCGGACGGGUGAGGAAUACAUCGGAAUCUACUUUUUCGUGGGGGAUAACGUAGGGAAACUUACGCUAAUACCGCAUACGACCUACGGGUGAAAGCAGGGGAUCUUCGGACCUUGCGCGAUUGAAUGAGCCGAUGUCGGACUAGCUAGUUGGCGGGGUAAAGGCCCACCAAGGCGACGAUCCGUAGCUGGUCUGAGAGGAUGAUCAGCCACACUGGAAGUUAGACACGGUCCAGACUCCUACGGGAGGCAGCAGUGGGGAAUAUUGGACAAAGGGCGCAAGCCUGAUCCAGCCAUACCGCGUGUGUGAAGAAGGCCUUCGGGUUGUAAAGCCCUUUUGUUGGGAAAGAAAAGCAGCAGGUUAAUACCCCGCUGUUCUGACGGUACCCAAAGAAUAAGCACCGGCUAACUUCGUG